rnacentral:rRNA from 1 species
UACGUAGGUGGCAAGCGAUACUCGGAAUCACUAGGCGUAAAGCGCAGGUAGGCGGUUGGGUAAGUCUUUUGUGAAAGCUCCUGGCUUAACUGGGAGAGGUCAAAGGAAACUACUCGGCUAGAGUUUGGUAGAGGAUACUGGAAUUCCUGGUGUAGCGGUGAAAUGCGUGGAUAUCAGGAGGAAUACCUAUGGCGAAAGCAGGUAUCUGGGCCACAACUGACGCUGAGCUGCGAAAGCUAGGGGAGCAAACAGG